CAUUGGGGGGAUAUGUCAUGACAUCAUCGACUGGCAAAAAAUACUUUAUGAAAUAUGUCGCUUCUGAAGGAACUACCGAAGCUCAAGCGGAAGCAAACUACUGCUGCAAACUUGGCAGCCACCUUGCAAUUUUCGAAAGCUUAGCGGAUUUCAUCGCUUUUAGGCAACUCUGGCAAGAUGGUUCAGGCCACUUGACUUACAUUGGACCGACCUUCGACAACGGCGAUGGCACCGACAGCUGGUGCUUGAACUUUAAGAGGUUACCAGCAGGAAUGAUCACAGAUAUCGACAAAUAUUAUCGCAACCAGCCGUGGAACUCGACUAAAAUUGUGUUGUUUCAAAGCUCUGGAUUAGAAAUAUUUCCAAAAGAAAGCGGGGCUCACCGAGUUUUAUGUGGCCCAAUUCCCUACUAAUUUAUCCGAAU